rfam:Fukomys damarensis contig99913, whole genome shotgun sequence.
CUGGAGGCUUCCGCAGCCCGGAGAGGCGGCUCCGCCGGCGGCUCGCUCGGCCAGCUCGGCCAUCUUCAUCCGGAGGAGCGGAGUUUGGAAUCUGUGCCCUGGAGGGG